AAAUUGAAGAGUUUGAUCAUGGCUCAGAUUGAACGCUGGCGGCAGGCCUAACACAUGCAAGUCGAACGGUAACAGGAAACAGCUUGCUGUUUCGCUGACGAGUGGCGGACGGGUGAGUAAUGUCUGGGAAACUGCCUGAUGGAGGGGGAUAACUACUGGAAACGGUAGCUAAUACCGCAUAACGUCGCAAGACCAAAGAGGGGGACCUUCGGGCCUCUUGCCAUCGGAUGUGCCCAGAUGGGAUUAGCUAGUAGGUGGGGUAACGGCUCACCUAGGCGACGAUCCCUAGCUGGUCUGAGAGGAUGACCAGCCACACUGGAACUGAGACACGGUCCAGACUCCUACGGGAGGCAGCAGUGGGGAAUAUUGCACAAUGGGCGCAAGCCUGAUGCAGCCAUGCCGCGUGUAUGAAGAAGGCCUUCGGGUUGUAAAGUACUUUCAGCGGGGAGGAAGGGAGUAAAGUUAAUACCUUUGCUCAUUGACGUUACCCGCAGAAGAAGCACCGGCUAACUCCGUGCCAGCAGCCGCGGUAAUACGGAGGGUGCAAGCGUUAAUCGGAAUUACUGGGCGUAAAGCGCACGCAGGCGGUUUGUUAAGUCAGAUGUGAAAUCCCCGGGCUCAACCUGGGAACUGCAUCUGAUACUGGCAAGCUUGAGUCUCGUAGAGGGGGGUAGAAUUCCAGGUGUAGCGGUGAAAUGCGUAGAGAUCUGGAGGAAUACCGGUGGCGAAGGCGGCCCCCUGGACGAAGACUGACGCUCAGGUGCGAAAGCGUGGGGAGCAAACAGGAUUAGAUACCCUGGUAGUCCACGCCGUAAACGAUGUCGACUUGGAGGUUGUGCCCUUGAGGCGUGGCUUCCGGAGCUAACGCGUUAAGUCGACCGCCUGGGGAGUACGGCCGCAAGGUUAAAACUCAAAUGAAUUGACGGGGGCCCGCACAAGCGGUGGAGCAUGUGGUUUAAUUCGAUGCAACGCGAAGAACCUUACCUGGUCUUGACAUCCACGGAAGUUUUCAGAGAUGAGAAUGUGCCUUCGGGAACCGUGAGACAGGUGCUGCAUGGCUGUCGUCAGCUCGUGUUGUGAAAUGUUGGGUUAAGUCCCGCAACGAGCGCAACCCUUAUCCUUUGUUGCCAGCGGUCCGGCCGGGAACUCAAAGGAGACUGCCAGUGAUAAACUGGAGGAAGGUGGGGAUGACGUCAAGUCAUCAUGGCCCUUACGACCAGGGCUACACACGUGCUACAAUGGCGCAUACAAAGAGAAGCGACUCGCGAGAGCAAGCGGACCUCAUAAAGUGCGUCGUAGUCCGGAUUGGAGUCUGCAACUCGACUCCAUGAAGUCGGAAUCGCUAGUAAUCGUGGAUCAGAAUGCCACGGUGAAUACGUUCCCGGGCCUUGUACACACCGCCCGUCACACCAUGGGAGUGGGUUGCAAAAGAAGUAGGUAGCUUAACCUUCGGGAGGGCGCUUACCACUUUGUGAUUCAUGACUGGGGUGAAGUCGUAACAAGGUAACCGUAGGGGAACCUGCGGUUGGAUCACCUCCUUACCUUAAAGAA
rnacentral:rRNA from 1 species